rnacentral:rRNA from 1 species
AAAUUGAAGAGUUUGAUCAUGGCUCAGAUUGAACGCUGGCGGCAGGCCUAACACAUGCAAGUCGAACGGUAACAGGAAGCAGCUUGCUGCUUUGCUGACGAGUGGCGGACGGGUGAGUAAUGUCUGGGAAACUGCCUGAUGGAGGGGGAUAACUACUGGAAACGGUGGCUAAUACCGCAUAACGUCGCAAGACCAAAGAGGGGGACCUUCGGGCCUCUUGCCAUCAGAUGUGCCCAGAUGGGAUUAGCUUGUUGGUGGGGUAACGGCUCACCAAGGCGACGAUCCCUAGCUGGUCUGAGAGGAUGACCAGCCACACUGGAACUGAGACACGGUCCAGACUCCUACGGGAGGCAGCAGUGGGGAAUAUUGCACAAUGGGCGCAAGCCUGAUGCAGCCAUGCCGCGUGUAUGAAGAAGGCCUUCGGGUUGUAAAGUACUUUCAGCGGGGAGGAAGGUGUUGUGGUUAAUAACCGCAGCAAUUGACGUUACCCGCAGAAGAAGCACCGGCUAACUCCGUGCCAGCAGCCGCGGUAAUACGGAGGGUGCAAGCGUUAAUCGGAAUUACUGGGCGUAAAGCGCACGCAGGCGGUCUGUCAAGUCGGAUGUGAAAUCCCCGGGCUCAACCUGGGAACUGCAUUCGAAACUGGCAGGCUUGAGUCUUGUAGAGGGGGGUAGAAUUCCAGGUGUAGCGGUGAAAUGCGUAGAGAUCUGGAGGAAUACCGGUGGCGAAGGCGGCCCCCUGGACAAAGACUGACGCUCAGGUGCGAAAGCGUGGGGAGCAAACAGGAUUAGAUACCCUGGUAGUCCACGCCGUAAACGAUGUCUACUUGGAGGUUGUGCCCUUGAGGCGUGGCUUCCGGAGCUAACGCGUUAAGUAGACCGCCUGGGGAGUACGGCCGCAAGGUUAAAACUCAAAUGAAUUGACGGGGGCCCGCACAAGCGGUGGAGCAUGUGGUUUAAUUCGAUGCAACGCGAAGAACCUUACCUGGUCUUGACAUCCACGGAAGUUUUCAGAGAUGAGAAUGUGCCUUCGGGAACCGUGAGACAGGUGCUGCAUGGCUGUCGUCAGCUCGUGUUGUGAAAUGUUGGGUUAAGUCCCGCAACGAGCGCAACCCUUAUCCUUUGUUGCCAGCGAUUAGGUCGGGAACUCAAAGGAGACUGCCAGUGAUAAACUGGAGGAAGGUGGGGAUGACGUCAAGUCAUCAUGGCCCUUACGACCAGGGCUACACACGUGCUACAAUGGCGCAUACAAAGAGAAGCGACCUCGCGAGAGCAAGCGGACCUCAUAAAGUGCGUCGUAGUCCGGAUUGGAGUCUGCAACUCGACUCCAUGAAGUCGGAAUCGCUAGUAAUCGUGGAUCAGAAUGCCACGGUGAAUACGUUCCCGGGCCUUGUACACACCGCCCGUCACACCAUGGGAGUGGGUUGCAAAAGAAGUAGGUAGCUUAACCUUCGGGAGGGCGCUUACCACUUUGUGAUUCAUGACUGGGGUGAAGUCGUAACAAGGUAACCGUAGGGGAACCUGCGGUUGGAUCACCUCCUUA